UACAGAGGGGGCGAGCGUUAUCCGGAAUUAUUGGGCGUAAAGAGCUCGUAGGCGGUUUGUCGCGUCUGCCGUGAAAGUCCGGGGCUCAACUCCGGAUCUGCGGUGGGUACGGGCAGACUAGAGUGAUGUAGGGGAGACUGGAAUUCCUGGUGUAGCGGUGAAAUGCGCAGAUAUCAGGAGGAACACCGAUGGCGAAGGCAGGUCUCUGGGCAUUAACUGACGCUGAGGAGCGAAAGCAUGGGGAGCGAACAGG
rnacentral:rRNA from 1 species